rnacentral:rRNA from 1 species
UUCCAGACUCCUACGGGAGGCAGCAGUGGGGGAUAUUGCACAAUGGGGGGAACCCUGAUGCAGCGACGCCGCGUGGGUGAAGGAGCGUUUCGGCGCGUAAAGCCCUAUCGGCAGGGAAGAAGAAAUGACGGUACCUGAAUAAGAAGCACCGGCUAAAUACGUGCCAGCAGCCGCGGUAAUACGUAUGGUGCAAGCGUUAUCCGGAUUUACUGGGCGUAAAGGGAGCGCAGGCGGCGCGCCAAGUCUGAUGUGAAACCCCGGGGCUCAACCCCGGGCAUGCAUUGGAAACUGGCGGGCUGGAGUGCCGGAGAGGUAAGCGGAAUUCCUAGUGUAGCGGUGAAAUGCGUAGAUAUCAGGAGGAACACCGGCGGCGAAGGCGGCCUGCUGGACCGCGACUGACGUUGAGGCUCGAAAGCGUGGGGAGCGAACAGGAUUAGAUACCCUCGUAUC